rnacentral:misc_RNA from 1 species
GAACAUAGAGGCUGUCCUGGUAGCCGAUGACGUUACAACGAUAAACGACCGAAUGGUCACCGCCAACACGAAGGGCGACCGCUUGAUGCUUGGUCGGACCUGCCCAGUUCUCAAUCGUCAUAUCCCUCAUUAUGAAUCCUGCCCCUGUCGACGCGAAGGUGGCGGUAUGAUAAGUAGUGUAGUUAUCAAACACACUCCGGCCACCUGCGACGAUGGUCUUAUCCUUGCCGUCACCGACGAACAUGAGGUUAGUCUUCUUCCUCCCAACCUUCACAUUCUCAUCAUACCUCCCGGCCUUCACAUAAAUCACAA